GGACAAUCUCUCUAUUCUCCCAUUUCUCUCCUCCCCUGUAGUUUCUAACAAGCACAACUUGUCCUACAGCGAAUUCUCUGAGAUUUCCCUUAUUUUUGAAU